rnacentral:rRNA from 1 species
GCAGGGCGCAGCUACCAUGCAGUCGAGCGGUAACAGAUCCAGCUUGCUGGAUGCUGACGAGCGGCGGACGGGUGAGUAAUGCAUAGGAAUCUGCCCGAUAGUGGGGGAUAACCUGGGGAAACCCAGGCUAAUACCGCAUACGUCCUACGGGAGAAAGGGGGCUUCGGCUCCCGCUAUCGGAUGAGCCUAUGUCGGAUUAGCUAGUUGGUGAGGUAACGGCUCACCAAGGCGACGAUCCGUAGCUGGUCUGAGAGGAUGAUCAGCCACAUCGGGACUGAGACACGGCCCGAACUCCUACGGGAGGCAGCAGUGGGGAAUAUUGGACAAUGGGGGGAACCCUGAUCCAGCCAUGCCGCGUGUGUGAAGAAGGCCCUCGGGUUGUAAAGCACUUUCAGCGAGGAAGAACGCCUAGCGGUUAAUACCCGCUAGGAAAGACAUCACUCGCAGAAGAAGCACCGGCUAACUCCGUGCCAGCAGCCGCGGUAAUACGGAGGGUGCAAGCGUUAAUCGGAAUUACUGG